UAGGGAAUAUUGGGCAAUGGAUGCAAGUCUGACCCAGCCAUGCCGCGUGCCGGAUGAAGGCCCUCAGGGUUGUAAACGGCUUUUAUUCGGGAAGAAGAGCAGGGAUGCGUCCUUGUGUGACGGUACCGAAUGAAUAAGCACCGGCUAACUCCGUGCCAGCAGCCGCGGUAAUACGGAGGGUGCGAGCGUUGUCCGGAUUUAUUGGGUUUAAAGGGUGCGUAGGUGGCUAGUUAAGUCAGUGGUGAAAUACAGCCGCUCAACGGUUGAGGUGCCAUUGAUACUGAUUAGCUUGAAAUAAUUGGAGGCUGCCGGAAUGGAUGGUGUAGCGGUGAAAUGCAUAGAUAUCAUCCAGAACACCGAUUGCGAAGGCAGGUGGCUACGAUUUAUUUGACACUGAGGCACGAAAGCAUGGGGAGCAAACA
rnacentral:rRNA from 1 species